AUGACAUCAGCAUCAUAUCCGCACGUGAUCACUGCCCGUUGUGCUCUGGAACAGCCGCGCUCACCUUAUUAACCAUGAUACUCUCCGGACUUGCAGCUCAUGGAACUGUAAAUAUCAUCUUGUCUUCUGUGACUCUACUGGUCUGCCUGGUGUUCGUCGUGACAUCCACCCUGCUUCACCCCGUAGCUACCUUCCGAUGGUCUUUCAAGCAUCGGGACGAAGACUGCCGAGACCUUCCAUGGGAUGUUCGGCUUCCUACGCUCGCGAUGUUGCGUAACGUGUUCAACGGGGAGAGGUGGCUCAAGCAGCCGACGUCUUCCGAAAUGGGCGAUAGAAUGUGAAAGAAUAAAAACCAUUGGUCCAAUAAAAAACCGAUAAAAACCGA